rnacentral:rRNA from 1 species
UACGUAGGGUGCAAGCGUUGUCCGGAAUUAUUGGGCGUAAAGAGCUCGUAGGCGGUUUGUCGCGUCGAAUGUGAAAACCCGGGGCUCAACCCCGGGCCUGCAUUCGACACGGGCAGACUAGAGUUCGGUAGGGGAGUCUGGAAUUCCUGGUGUAGCGGUGAAAUGCGCAGAUAUCAGGAGGAACACCGGUGGCGAAGGCGGGACUCUGGGCCGAUACUGACGCUGAGGAGCGAAAGCGUGGGGAGCGAACAGG